UUCCGGUUGAUCCUGCCGGACCUGACUGCUAUCGGAUUGAUACUAAGCCAUGCGAGUCAUUGUAGCAAUACAAGGCAGACGGCUCAGUAACGCGUAGUCAACCUACCCUAUGGACGGGGAUAACCUCGGGAAACUGAGAAUAAUACCAGAUAGAACAUUAUGCCUGGAAUGGUUUAUGUUUCAAAUAAUUUAUUGCCGUAGGAUGGGACUGCGGCCUAUCAGUUUGUUGGUGAGGUAAUGGCCCACCAAGACUAUUACAGGUACGGGCUCUGAGAGGAGUAGCCCGGAGAUGGGUACUGAGACACGGACCCAGGCCCUAUGGGGCGCAGCAGGCGAGAAAACUUUGCAAUGUGCGAAAGCACGACAAGGUUAAUCCGAGUGGUUUCUGCUAAAGGAACCUUUUGUUAGUCCUAGAAACACUAACGAAUAAGGGGUGGGCAAGUUCUGGUGUCAGCCGCCGCGGUAAAACCAGCACCUCAAGUGGUCAGGAUGAUUAUUGGGCCUAAAGCAUCCGUAGCCUGCUCUGUAAGUUUUCGGUUAAAUCUGUACGCUUAACGUACAGGCCGCCGGAAAUACUGCAGAGCUAGGGAGUGGGAGAGGUAGACGGUACUCGGGAGGAAGUGGUAAAAUGCUUUGAUCUCUCGAUGACCACCUGUGGCGAAGGCGGUCUACCAGAACACGUCCGACGGUGAGGGAUGAAAGCUGGGGGAGCAAACCGGAUUAGAUACCCGGGUAGUCCCAGCCGUAAACUAUGCAAACUCAGUGAUGCAUUGGCUUGUGGCCAAUGCAGUGUUGCAGGGAAGCCGUUAAGUUUGCCGCCUGGGAAGUACGUACGCAAGUAUGAAACUUAAAGGAAUUGGCGGGGGAGCACCACAAGGGGUGAAGCCUGCGGUUCAAUUGGAGUCAACGCCGGGA
rnacentral:rRNA from 1 species